GACGAACGCUGGCGGCGUGCCUAAUACAUGCAAGUAGAACGCACAGUUUAUACCGUAGCUUGCUACACCAUAGACUGUGAGUUGCGAACGGGUGAGUAACGCGUAGGUAACCUGCCUGGUAGCGGGGGAUAACUAUUGGAAACGAUAGCUAAUACCGCAUAAUAUUAAUUAUUGCAUGAUAAUUAAUUGAAAGGUGCAAUUGCACCACUACCAGAUGGACCUGCGUUGUAUUAGCUAGUAGGUGAGGUAACGGCUCACCUAGGCGACGAUACAUAGCCGACCUGAGAGGGUGAUCGGCCACACUGGGACUGAGACGCGGCCCAGACUCCUACGGGAGGCAGCAGUAGGGAAUCUUCGGCAAUGGACGAAAGUCUGACCGAGCAACGCCGCGUGAGUGAAGAAGGUUUUCGGAUCGUAAAGCUCUGUUGUAAGAGAAGAACGGGUGUGAGAGUGGAAAGUUCACACUGUGACGGUAUCUUACCAGAAAGGGACGGCUAACUACGUG
rnacentral:rRNA from 1 species